rnacentral:rRNA from 1 species
AAAUAGGUAAAAAGAUGAAAGAAGGAAGGUGAUAUAAGCUAAACUUGUAUUAAGGGUACUCCUACAUCUAACGCUCAUUCUAAACCCUGCCGUAAACUCGACACCAGAAAUUUAGGAAAUGGACAGGGAUUUGAUACCCCAUUACUCCUAGACGUAAAAAGAUGCCAGGGAACUACGAAUUGCUAUUUAAAACCCAAAGAACUUGGCGGCGAUACAGAUCAACCUAGGGGAGCAUGACGGUUAAUUCGAUAUUCCACGAAAAUCUUACCUUUCCUUGUAGUCAGCUUGUAUACCGUCGUUGUCAGCUUCCCUUAUCAGAGAAGAAAAGGAGGCUUAGUCUAUAAUGCAGUUAUAUGUGUUACUAGAAGACUUCAGAUAAACGUGCAGCUUAUGGAAAGGGCUUAGUUUUGCUACAAUCUUCUUUGGAUACGGACCGUUAUAAUAAUCCUGUGAAAUCAGGGAGGGAAGGUGGACUUAGCAGUAAGAAUAAAAAAAAUUUUGAAUAUUAGUGAUUGUAUCGCGU